rnacentral:rRNA from 1 species
GACGAACGCUGGCGGCGUGCUUAACACAUGCAAGUCGAGCGGAGCGGCGAACGGGUGAGUAACGCGUGAGUAACUGCCCCCCUCUCAGGGCUCACAGUUGGCAACGGCUGCUAAUACCGGAUAGUGGGGGAUGACUCGCGUCCUAUCAGCUUGGUGGUGGGGUAGUGGCCUACCAAGGCGACGACGGGUAGCCGGCCUGAGAGGGCGACCGGCCACAUUGGGCUGAGAUACGGCCCAAACUCCUACGGGAGGCAGCAGUGGGGAAUAUUGCACAAUGGGGGAAACCCUGAUGCAGCAACGCGCGUGCGGGAUGACGGCCUUCGGGUUGUAAACCGCUUUCAGCCAUGACGCGGUAGUGGCAGAAGAAGCACCGGCUAACUACGUGCCAGCAGCCGCGGUAAUAC